rnacentral:rRNA from 1 species
UUUGAUCUAUUUCUAGUGGCGGACGGGUGAGUAACACGUAAGCAACCUGCCUAUUAGAGGGGAACAACAGUUAGAAAUGACUGCUAAUACCGAAUAAGUUCCAAGAGCCGCAUGGCCCAUGGAAGAAAAGGUGGCCUCUACCUGUAAGCUAUCGCCUGAAGAGGGGUUUGCGUCUGAUUAGCUGGUUGGAGGGGUAACGGCCCACCAAGGCGAUGAUCAGUAGCCGAGUUGAGAGACUCUACGGCCACACUGGAACUGAGACACGGCCCAGACUCC